CCUACGGGAGGCAGCAGUGAGGAAUAUUGGUCAAUGGACGAGAGUCUGAACCAGCCAAGUAGCGUGAAGGAUGACUGCCCUAUGGGUUGUAAACUUCUUUUAUAUGGGAAUAAAAUGUUCCACGUGUGGGAUUUUGUAUGUACCAUAUGAAUAAGGAUCGACUAACUCCGUGCCAGCAGCCGCGGUAAUACGGAGGAUCCGAGCGUUAUCCGGAUUUAUUGGGUUUAAAGGGAGCGUAGGUGGAUUGUUAAGUCAGUUGUGAAAGUUUGCGGCUCAACCGUAAAAUUGCAGUUGAAACUGGCAGUCGUGAGUACAGUAGAGGUGGGCGGAAUUCGGGGUGUAGCGGUGAAAUGCUUAGAUAUCACGAAGAACUCCGAUUGCGAAGGCAGCUCACUGGACUGCAACUGACACUGAGGCUCGAAAGUGUGGGUAUCAAACAGGAUUAGAUACCCUAGUAGUC
rnacentral:rRNA from 1 species